rnacentral:rRNA from 1 species
CCUACGGGAGGCAGCAGUGGGGAAUUUUGGACAAUGGGCGCAAGCCUGAUCCAGCAAUGCCGCGUGAGUGAAGAAGGCCUUCGGGUUGUAAAGCUCUUUUGUCAGGGAAGAAACGGUGGGAGCUAAUAUCUCCCGCUAAUGACGGUACCUGAAGAAUAAGCACCGGCUAACUACGUGCCAGCAGCCGCGGUAAUACGUAGGGUGCAAGCGUUAAUCGGAAUUACUGGGCGUAAAGCGUGCGCAGGCGGUUUUGUAAGUCUGUCGUGAAAGCCCCGGGCUCAACCUGGGAAUUGCGAUGGAGACUGCAAGGCUUGAAUCUGGCAGAGGGGGGUAGAAUUCCACGUGUAGCAGUGAAAUGCGUAGAGAUGUGGAGGAACACCGAUGGCGAAGGCAGCCCCCUGGGUCAAGAUUGACGCUCAUGCACGAAAGCGUGGGGAGCAAACAGGAUUAGAUACCCUGGUAGUCCACGCCCUAAACGAUGUCUACUAGUUGUCGGGUUUUAAUUAACUUGGUAACGCGGCUAACGCGUGAAGUAGACCGCCUGGGGAGUACGGUCGCAAGAUUAAAACGUCAAAGGAAUUGACGG